rnacentral:rRNA from 1 species
UGCUUUACNCAUGCAAGUCGUACGAGAGUUUUCAACUCAAGUGGCGGACGGGUGAGUAACACGUAAGAAUUUGCCUUUAGGAGGGGGAUAACAAUUUGAUAAGGAUUGCUAAUACCCCAUAUGCUUUCGAGUGAAAUGGAAUUUUCCGCCUAAAGAGAAGCUUGCGGCUGAUUAGCUUGUUGGUAAGGUAAUGGCUUACCAAGGCGACGAUCAGUAUCUGGUUUGAGAGGACGAUCAGACACACUGGAACUGAGACACGGUCCAGACUCUUACGGGAGGCAGCAGUGGGGAAUUUUCCGCAAUGGGCGAAAGCCUGACGGAGCAAUACCGCGUGAGGGAUGACUGCCUAUGGGUUGUAAACCUCUUUUUUCAGGGAGGAAUCAAUGACGUGUACCUGAAGAAUAAGCAUCGGCUAACUCCGUGCCAGCAGCCGCGGUAAGACGGAGGAUGCAAGUGUUAUCCGGAAUCACUGGGCGUAAAGCGUCUGUAGGUGGUUUAAUAAGUCAACUGUUAAAUCUUGAGGCUCAACCUCGAAACCGCAGUCGAAACUAUUAGACUAGAGUAUAGUAGGGGUAAAGGGAAUUUCCAGUGGAGCGGUGAAAUGCGUAGAGAUUGGAAAGAACACCGAUGGCGAAGGCACUUUACUGGGCUAUUACUAACACUGAGAGACGAAAGCUAGGGUAGCAAAUGGGAUUAGAUACCCCAGUAGUCCUAGCCGUAAACAAUGGAUACUAGAUGUUGGACAGAUUGACCUGUGCAGUAUCAAAGCUAACGCGUUAAGUAUCCCGCCUGGGAAGUAUGCUCGCAAGAGUGAAACUCAAAGGAAUUGACGG